rnacentral:rRNA from 1 species
UACAGAGGAGCCAAGCGUUGUCCGGAUUGACUGGGCGUAAAGCGCACGCAGGCGGUUGCGCGCGUGGGGUGUGAAAUCUGGCCGCUUAACGGCCAGGCGCCAUCCCAUACGGCGCGACUGGAGUGAUGCAGAGGUCGAUGGAAUUGCCGGUGUAGUGGUGAAAUGCGUAGAGAUCGGGAGGAACACCAGUGGCGAAGGCGACUAUCUGGACCAGCACUGACACUGAGGCACGAAAGCGUGGGGAGCAAACAGG